rnacentral:SRP_RNA from 1 species
CGAAUGGGUCCUGCGCAACGAAAAUCUAUGAACCCCGUCAGGUCCGGGAGGAAGCAGCGGUAAGUAGACACUUUCGUGUGCCGUAGGGGUGCCUGUUCUGAGU